GGUGUCUUGCUGUUAAUCUAAGAAAGCAGGAACACAUACAUUUGUGUAUUUUCUAAGUGGAAAGAUAAAUUUGGGAGAGAUGGAGCAAGUUGGAAAGUACAAGGAUAGAAGCUAAACUUCUCUGACUAUAUCUUGUUUUGUAGAUUUGACUGGGAUGCCGUAAAUUUUUAUGAUUAUGAAAAAUUAAACAUUUAAAAAGCAAAAUGCAACAAAUGAAUACAGGUUAAUGCUGCUGCUUCAAGUCUUGUAACAAUGUGUGCUUUAAAAAGAGACUUGGAGGAGCAUUUCCCCUGUCAGUCCAAGAGCUCUAGAGAAAGGUGCGUGGUACAGGAAAUAGAGCAUUGAACAUUUGACUCUCACAGACCUGGGCGUACCUCCCAGGUCACUUUCCAAUGGAGUGACCAAGGUGUCUACUCAGUUGCUAGUGUAUCUGGAGAAGUCUUCAACCACUCUAUCAAUCCGAGUUCCCCAAAACAGUUCUGGAGAUGGAUGGUGGUGAUGAUUAUGAAACCACACAACUCAAAUUGGGACUUGAACCCAGCCAAAGCUCAGAUGGGGACUUGACGUGCCUUUUAAUUGAAAUCUUGCACACCUGGUCUCAGGACUUUAUAAAGCUCAGGUUCUUUAUGUCUCAGUGCAGAAGGAAUUCAGUGAGAGACAAAGUGACAGGCUAAUAAUCAGAGAAGGCAAUGGCAACACACUCCAGUACUCUUGCCUGGAA